GACCUCGUCGUUUAACGGAUAGGACACUGGCCUGCGAAGCCGGAAAUCAAGGUUCAAUUCCUUGCGAGGUCACAA
rnacentral:tRNA from 1 species